rnacentral:rRNA from 1 species
AAAUUACCCACUCUCUGAACGAGGAGGUAGUGAAGAUAAAUAUCGAUACAGAACUCAAUUGAGGCUCUGUAAUCGAAAUGAGUGAACCAUAAAUCCUACAACGAGGAUCUAUUGGAGGGCAAGUCUGGUGCCAGCAGCCGCGGUAACUCCAGCUCCAAUAGCGUAUAUUAAAGUUGCUGCAGUUAAAAAGCUCGUAGUUGGAUCUGGGCUAUGUUGUGAUUGUCGGUUGGGCUGUGACCUGUGCAAGCAGGGAGCGGUCGGCCGGUAUAUUCACGCAUGGCUUCGCAGCUGUGUCCACGUGUCUUCGGAUGUGUGGAUGGUGUUGGAUGUCAGCCUUGACUCCCUUAAUGGGGGGCCUGGGCGGUUCAGCAUCAUGUCCUGUCGAUGCCCUUCACCGGGUGUCCGGGACUCUCAGCACGUUUACUUUGAACAAAUUUGAGUGCUCAAAGCAGGCCGCUUGUUGCCUGAAAAUUCUUGCAUGGAAUAAUGAAAUAGGACUUUGGUCCUAUUUUGUUGGUUUGAUAGAACCGAAGUAAUGAUAAAGAGAGACAGACGGGGGCAUUUGUAUGGCGGCGCUAGAGGUGAAAUUCGUGGACCGUCGCCAGACAAACUAAAGCGAAAGCAUCUGCCAAGUAUGUUUUCAUUUACCAGGAGCGAAAGUCAGAGGUUCGAAGACGAUCAGAUACCGUCCUAGUUCUGACCAUAAACGAUGCCAACUGACGAUCCGUGGUAGUUCAUUCUAUGAGCCCACGGGCAGUCUCCGGGAAACCUGU